rnacentral:ncRNA from 1 species
UACGGCGCAGGCUUCAACCGGCGCCGUAGUUUUAACCUGAGCAACAGCUCAUAAAGCUGCGGCUCUUAUUUUGAAGAAAUGAGACCAGCAGGGGCAUCCGGGCUGGUACCCGGACUAUCAGCGUGAUCCUAAGUGGCUUGUUUUAGUCGCUGUAUUCGGACUUUCUCAAGCAUGCUCUGGUGUUCUCGUCGAUGGUGUCCCCUAACCGAGGGUGACCA